UACGAAGGGGGCUAGCGUUGUUCGGAAUUACUGGGCGUAAAGCGCACGUAGGCGGAUUACUAAGUCAGGGGUGAAAUCCCGGGGCUCAACCCCGGAACUGCCUUUGAUACUGAUAGUCUCGAGUCCGGAAGAGGUGAGUGGAAUUCCGAGUGUAGAGGUGAAAUUCGUAGAUAUUCGGAGGAACACCAGUGGCGAAGGCGGCUCACUGGUCCGGUACUGACGUUGAGGUGCGAAAGCGUGGGGAGCAAACAGG
rnacentral:rRNA from 1 species